rnacentral:tRNA from 1 species
GCAUUGGUGGGUUCAGUGGUAGAAUUCUCGCCUUCCAUGCGGGAGACCCGAAUUCGAUUCCUGACCAAUCCA